CCCGCUGCUCUGCCCUCGUGUGAAACGGGCAUAACUUUGCAACUCAAAUAUCAUGAACUAAGCGUAAUACUUUCUGUUGCCCUGGUACUUUUCACUCUUUUCUCACCACGAUAUUCGUCACUUAUUCCAGAUGUCUUCAAUUACAAAAAAAAAAAUAUGGUAUAGGUCCUCGGUAAAGCAUGGGUCCGGAUGACUCAUGGUUUCAUAAGAGUAUUAUUUAUUCCUUACUGGAUACUAGUUACGAACAAUCAUACAGGUAUCAGUAAAGGUAAAAAUCCUAUUACUUGGAUGCCAGUAUCCCACGAGGAUCAUUUUUUAUUUUUAUGUAACUGGUUACAAAACUCCGGUUACAUACGCGGCCGAAGGGUUUAUUUACAUCAUAAACAAAAACCUCUUUGACAUGCCAAGGUCCCGGGCGCAAGCAAGCUAAUGUAUACCUAACUUGUAAGUGUCAAGUUUAUUUUGACAGUGUCUUAUGACAGACGUUUUUAGUUGUCCCUGGCGAUGUGGGGCUGUGGGCACGACUACAGUCAGAACAAGACAAGUCUGCAACGAUUUUGAUAGCACACGCAGAGCAAGUGUUAUUUUUCUACGUCAUAAUUUCAUAGAUGUUUGACGUGCCCCUCCCCCGCAAAAAUCAGUAGACUGUAACAGGCUUGUUUUGUACAGAAAAUUCAGGCAAGGCGUCUCCAAUUGUCAAAUCCUCCAAGGUUAAAAUCGACAAUCUAGUCCAAACAUCUUAGAAAGGCGUCAUCAUAGUCUAUGAAUAAAGCACUAAAAAAUAAAAGUGACAUUUGUCAUUUUAUAUCGGGUGUCAUUUAAAAUCAUAAAUUUAUUUACAGAAAAUAAUUCUAAAAGAAAAUCUACCAAACUAAUUUACAAUAAAAACCAUAAAUUCUCAAGAUUUGAUCAGUGUUCCGUCCUAUUGACAAGGUUAGUUGACUUUUAUUCUACUAAGAUUGCAUGCGUUUGCUGCUGUUGACUAUAAGUAUAGCGGACUAGCAGACCUGCGAUAAUUAUCAUUGUAUUUCCAACUGACUUUUAAAAGGAGGAGGCUCUCCAUCCGGCUGAUUUUAUUUAACGAGAUAACGACAAACCCAAAAAGAUAGAGUUAUGAUUUUAACAGUUUUUGUGUGCAUGUCUUUGAUGUGUCUAAAGAAUAAAAUACUCUUGAUGAAUUGGAGCUGCUCCUAAAAAACAUUACACCGUCAAUGUUUACUUAUAAGUAUUAUGAUGAUAGCUUUAUAGUCGUUCGUAAGAUAUUAGCAUGCUGGUAUAACCUGUAAAGUACUAAUAGCAGAAUAAGCAACCAAUUGCCACCUACCACGUAAAAACACUAUACUUAUUCUUUACAAAUAAAUACUGUAGUUAGGUAGAUACUUUGUUAAUUAUAUUCCAUAUCUGAUCAUUAGAUUUAUUUGUUGAAAUUUGUUGAAAAAGAGGACCUGUUCUAGUGCUCAUUAAGAUCGUAUAAUGAUCAACGGAACUCCAUAAUAAACCAAUUUACCUAUCCUAGUCAUGUUUGGAACAAUUGAAAUAAGAUGCACAAGUAUAUGUGAGUAAUAAAUGAUUUCAAAGGUAUUUUCACUACUCUUAAGUUAUUAUUAUUAUUAUACUUGUUGUAUUCCGAGGUUAUAAGCAUUAUUUGUUAUAAGUUAACUAUAGUCGAGCACGACGUUCUAAUAUUUAGAAUUAAUGGUUUCGUAGCCAAAAUGGCAAUAAAGAUCCAUCCGUCCGUCCGUCCGCCCGUUCGUCCGUCCGUCCGUCCGUUCGUUCGUCGGCCGUCCGUCCGUCCGUCCGUCCGUUCGUUCGUCGGCCGUCCGUCCGUCCGUCCGUUCCCAGCUGUCCGUCCUUUGUCUGUCCGUCCGUCCGUCCGUCUGUCUGUCUGUUUGUCUAUUUGUAUGUUAGAGCCAUUAGACUAGGAGUGUAUAUAGGUAUAAUAAUGAUAAUGACAUUUAGGAUGUAGGUAGUAAAAACGUAUAAACUACUCUUUUUUACAGAGGCAACCAGGCGUACGGCCCGGCCCGUCCGAUAGUUUAGUUUAGUUUAUUCAUAUCACAUACUUACAGGUUUCAUUUUAUUAAAUUAGCUUAACCGUUAUAAAACGAUUGUUUAGAUACUUAUGCAAAGUAAGAUCCAGAAGAAGAAAAUGAAAAAUGAAUUACUAGUUUUGAAUUUUGACAAAGUAUUUAUAUAAGCACCAGGUUUUAGUAAUGUUACAGCAAGUCGGCAAUCUACGACGGUCGCUUAGCUUACGAGUAGUUGCUGGUGAUUCUGCCCACAAAACUGCAAAUCCCGGGUUCGAUUCCCGAUAAGGGCAUUUAUUAGCAUGAUGAACACGGAUAUCUUUAUUUGUUUAUGUAAGCCCACACAAGCUUUUAUUUAACUUGCUCUGUUAGUAUGUAAGUUUGUUAGUUAGGGUGGGUCAAAUCUUGGAAACUAAAAUUGACCCACUUCCCGAUUCCCGAUUAAGCUGAAGAUUUGCAUACAUAAUAACAUAUAAGUCGAGUGACAAUGCAAUAUUAUGGUACCAUCGAGCUGAUCUGAUGACGGAUACAGGAGGUGGCCAUAGAAACUCUGUGAUGAAACAACGGAACUAUAUUGUGUUUGGGGUUUUUAGAAUUAUCUCGAUGAGUAUUUAGUUACCUAUGGUAAGAAAAGUACAGUCAGCGACAAAGGUUUGUACCCAAAAAAGAUAAAAACUUUUUUUUUGGCAUAAACUUACCUAUUUAUAAAACAGUUUCGUUACUUCUAUACUGACAGACAACACAUACAGCUUAAUAAAUCGUUGAAGUUAAAACUAUGAAAUUUAAAACAUUACAUAUAUAGUACAAAUGGUGUAGAGGUGCCCUAAGGUAGGAUUUUCUGAAAUUUAACCCUUAAGGGGUAAGAAGGGGCUUAAAGUUAUUUAAGUUAUCUUUAAUUAUGUGAGUGUGUUUUUCAGUUAAAAUAUAAGUGAUUGUGACUGAUAAUGUUUUUUAUUUUCAUAACUGCAAAUCUGCUUUCAACUGGCCUGGAUAUACAAGGAGACAAAUCAUGAAUGGACCAGAGCAACCAUGUUGAGCUACCUUCUUAUAAUAAUUAAGAAGUGGAGGGCGAUCCUUAUUUUAACAGUCGGAAACUUAUGCCUGACGAAACCGAGACGUUAUAUAAAAUGCAUUUAUGAUUGUUUCAGAGCCGGGGAAGGACAUCAGGAUAGUUUCUAUGAUUCAUCAUCAUUCUACGUCUACGCGUACGAAGUCGAGGGCAGAAACUAGUACUUAAAUAAAUGCAAUAUAAAUAAUAUUACUUAAUUAAGAGGGUAACAUAAAUAAUAACUAGACUUCGAUAGGUACCUAAAACAGUUUUAUAUUAAAUCAGGUUUCGUUGGAGGAAGAGUCCGAAUUUUGAGCAACGAUGCUAUGCGAGAAGUCGCGCAAAACAACGCGAGUUGCGUAUCCUGUACUGGAGGCCAAGACCCACGGUGCUGCUGAUUUACAAAUGAAAAUUUGUGUAAUGAUAUGCAAACGAAACCAGAGGAAUUAAGUGUUCAGCGGAACUGCUCCUGAAAAAAAGAUUGCUGUCAUAAGAGAUGCGGGUAUCUACUUUCAAUAUGUGUGACCAGCCUAUAAGAUCGAACCUGAAGCAAACAAGACAAUUUACCCUUAAAUGUAUUAGUAUAAGUUUGCCUAUUUAUUAUUAAUUCUCCAUAUUGCCUAAUAAAACAACUAUAUUGUGCAUUAGAAGACAGUAUCAUCCGGACAUGGUAUAUCAGAAUGUUACGUUCUGUGGAUAUACUCUGUUCUAAUGCACAGACAUUUUUAUUGUGUGAUUAAUUCAUGGGAUCCAUAAAUUGAGACUAUGACGAUUGCCCAUGGUAUGUGUUUAGUAGUAGUAGUAAGAAAAGCAUUCCUUUUUACCAAUUUGAGAAAGGCCCUUUUUUCUUGUAUCGUCCUCAUAUAUAUUAUGUCAACCUUAAACUUGUAUGUAGUAUUAAAGUCACUUCUAGGGUACUUUUGAAGGUUUAAUUCUACUUACUUACAUAUAUGACAUGACAAUAAGGUUAGUGGAAGAAAUAAGAUGUAGACGAGUGCAUGCUAUAAUAGCGUAAAUUAAGUAUCUAUAAGUAUUACUCCUUCAGUAUUAGACCUAUAUAGAUGAGCCUUUCAGCUUUUUUUGGACAACAUUUGUAACACUUGAUGAGGUUAUUGUAAAAAAAAAUUUCCUUUGCUACUAUCUACUCAGGUUGCAUUUUUUUGUGAUCCAAGCUUGCCUUUUGGAGUGAAAUAUAAUGGCGAAAAGAUGAAUGUAAAUAUUGUUGUCCAUUGAUAACGUUCUCUGCAGAUUUUGACGGCGAAAUUAAUAACACUGUCAAUAACUAUAUACUUAUAUUAUUAUUCAUAUUUUAAAGGGACUCUUAUUAUAAAAGUAUGAUACAAAUUUCGGAUCGGCAAUCCAGAGGUGUGGGUUCGAGUCCCACGAUGGCCACAGUUCAUCAUCACAGUUAAUUUAUUACAUUGUGAUUGACAUCUGUAUAUACAAUUCAUAAAGUAUACCAUUUUAAUAUUUGCUGCCCACCUUAUUAAAUUUUAGAGAAGAAGAAACAAUAUACGAGAAGUUCUGUACUAAGUGCAUAAAUACCAACAUAAUGACAAUAUUGUGUAAUAAUUCUGUCUAUUUUUGUUAAGUACCUACGUUAUAAUGUAUAGUUUUUAUUUUAUUUAUUGAUUAAUUAGUCACCUUAGGAUGUCGUUAUAGGUACUUGCUAAGCUAUAGGUUUAGCUUGUAAGACUCCAGUAACAUCAUUAUUAAGAUGUAACUCGUUUGUAACUACAGGAUCUACAAUAGCGUCUUAUAAGGGUGAAGUAUUAUUUUCUUUUCCGAUAUAAGGAGCUCUAAAAGACUUUUUUACGCCUGUUUAGACCCAGAAAACGCAAAUAGCAGCUGCUUAUUGCGUGUAUGGAUGUUAAGGUUGUACGAUUCACUUUAAGCUGUAACACUAACUUCUUACAAGUAGCAUGCAUUAUAGCGACCAAUACAGCUACCUGUGGCUCGGUGAACCUCUUAAACACUUUUAUGUCAACUGUACCUGUAGGCUAAGACUACGAGUAUGUAGCUAUUCUAGAGCUGUUUUAUGUCUAUAUUAGGUUCGGCUUUUCGUCCGUCUGUCUCUCUCUCUCUCUCUCUCUCUCUCUCUCUCUAUCUCUAUCUCUCUCUCAGUUACCACUUCACGCUUAAACCGCUUUAGAUAAAAUUUGUUCUGGAGGUAGUUUGAGGCCCGAGGAAUAUAAUAGGAUAGUUUUUAUCAAUCAUCAUCAUCAUCCCACGCAGACGAAGUCGCAGGUAGAAGAUGGUUAACUAUAAUAAUGGAUUGGAUAACAAUGCGUACGGUUACAGAUAACUUCUUGAUACGUUUUUGGUGACCGUAAAAAAUAAUAGCAGCAUGCAGAGGCCUUGGAAAUUGCACUUAAAAUGUAAUACUUAUAUAAGCUGUAUAUAAUGUAAAUGGCCUGUGGUACGAGUAUAUCGAUCACUUAUAGACAGGAAGGAAACUUAUCGUUAGGUAAUGUGAUGCAGUCGGCGAGACAAUACAAAGUCGUAUAGAUAAUAAUAUAAUAUAUUAAUGUAAAAGGCUGAAAGAGAAUAGGUAAACUGAUUAUGUAAUUGAUGAUUCGACCAAGAAGAAAAUGAAUGACUGAGAUGUCUAGUAACCGAAGUCUGAAAGCGAUACUAAGGGCCAGUCGCACCAACCGCAAUUAGCGGACUGAUUAACGUCACUCACCGGUGACAUGAAAUUUCCUAAAAAAUAAAUUUAAGUAGUGAAAGCUUUAACUGUGACAAAUGGUCUGUGUACGUGAGAUAUGCAAACGGAUGACAAACUGCUAUAAUAGUACGGGCACGUCUGAAAAUAUCGAUACAAAAAAAGUGCCAAAAAUAUGUGUACACGACUUUAUUGCCCAUAUAUUAAGGUGGUGUAUAUUUCAGACGUACGUUACUGUACGUCCUAUUAUUAGAGUGGAACCAAGGGCAAGAUUUUUAAACUUUUUUUUUAUUUAGUUUACAUAGUAGCGUUACAAAAUCGUUUAUAUAAGGUAUAAUUAUGGUAAAAGGGAAUGCACUAUUAUAUUUCUAAAGUCGUCGUUACUAGUCGUGCCCACAGCGUCGUGGCGCUGUGAGCACGCCGAGCGACGACGCCUUUAGGUGUUAUUGGCGUUCAAAGGGUUAAAAAAAUCAGUAUGAAGUGCCUACCGCGAAAAUCAAAAUUUUGCUAUCCGUCUAUCACUCUUGCAUAAACGAGCGAUACAAUGGCGGAUAGAGAAAUUUCGAUUUUCGCGGUAGACCUCGAUGGUCUACCGUGAAAAUCGUUUUUGGUGACCAUAAACAACGCAUUAAUCAACAAAGCCGUAAUAUUAACCCCCUUAGUACAUUAACCUUACGUCUAUGGACGGUAGAGAACUCCAUACUUACGUCCGAAGUACGUAUCGGGUCUACGUUGGUCAAUUUAGAUAUACUAAUAGUCGCGUGUCACCAUGAGGUAUACGGCCGUUUCCGAUUAGCGUUUUAUACAAGCGUACGUGUACGCGCGCGUAAGCUGGUAUAGACUAAAUGUAGGUAAAAGUAACGCGCGCGUAUGCCCGUAAAAAGCAAAUGCAGGGAAAUGUAACGCGCGUAUAAGCUCGUAUCGCUGUAAGGGCCGUAUACGCUAGGCUGAAACCGCUCAUAACGAAGCGGCCGAAGUGCACAAAAAAAUCGAAACAUGCACUCUAACGCCUUGACAAUAGAGGCAUGUUCAGAUAUUUGUGAGUAUCUUGGCCGCUCCAAUAUAUAUAAUGGCGACUACAUAUUACCAAAGAGCAAAUUUUGUAGCCACAGUAAAGUUACUGCCAUCUUUCGACAUAUGAUUAAAACUUUUGGAACGCACGAAUAAAAAGUGGCAACAUCAUACCAAGCAUCGGCUAAAGGUUGUGGCGCCAUCGCUCGAAACGAUACCGCCAUGCAUUUGGCUUUUGAUCUAUUAGAUUUAUUCAUUAACAAAUUUAACAUAUAUCAGUGAAAGAAUAAUGAUCAAAGUCAAAUGGCGUUCUAAAAGUUUUAAUCAUGUGUCGGAAAAUGGCAGUAAUUUAUCGUGGUUACAAAGUUUUUUUUUUACAAUCCACCUCUAUUUCAAAUUCUCUUUGAUACCCAUACAUUAACCCUUUGAAUGCUUUAUGUCAUAAACACAACAUCAGUCAAACACCAAAAUCCCGGGCGCAAGGGGGCCAAUGUAAACCUUAGGUAUUCGAAAGUGUGAAGGUUACUUUGACAGCGUCUGCCAGAACACCUAUAGGUGUCCUUGGCCCUGUGGGUACGACAAGUAACGACGAUUGUAGGUAUUUUUGGCGUUUAGAAUGUUAAUCUGUACUGCAUAUCUGGUUUUCGCUCAUCCUAACCUAUCACCCAUCCUGCGUCCAUAUAGACGGUAGAGAAAGGACGAAAAUCUCUUAGGCUACGUACGCACUAAGCGGCUAGCCGCGUGCGGACAGCCGCAUGACGGUUAAGAAUGUAUGAAACCGCAACCAUAAAUACUGAACGCACUAAGCGGUCCGCCGCAACCGCACGCGGCUGGCCGCAUAGUGCGUAUGGGGCCUUAUGACAGAACUAUUGCAAAAGUAACCAGCUUUCAGCUUUAACCUUUUGAAGGCCAAGAGCCACUAAAGUGGUCGUGUGCUGUCGUGCCUACCACGCCAACGACCACUAAAGAUGUCAUGGCAGACGCUGUCAAAGCAAUUUUACUGUUGACAGAUAAGGUUUAAAUUCGUUUCUCAAUAGUUGACAUAUUGGCGUGUAUGCCACAUUUUGAUGAGAGGGAGAAAGCGUUGAAAAGGUUAAAUAAUAGUUCCUAAUCUCUCCGGUGGCGCUAGGUAGGCUCAUGGAUAUUACAUGAAUCAUAUACGUAUAAUAAUAUAGAGAUGAAAUGGGGAGGAGCAGCAAAUAACCUGACCAAAUUACGACGAGCCUACCUAGCGCCACUGGAGAGAUUAUUAGGAACUAUAAUUUAACCUUUUGUACCUAACCCUUACUUGAAAAAAAGUUUACUUUGACAGCGUAUGUCAUGACACCUAUAGUUGCCUUGGUGCUGUGGACUAGAUAACGACGCUUUUAUUUUAUUUUCUUGGCGUUCAAAGGGUUAAAGCUGAAAGCUGGUCACUUUUGCAAUAGUUCUGCCAUAAGAGAUUGUCGUCCUUUCUGUACCGUCCAUACUUUAGAUUGACCUAUGUUAGCCCAAUUUGACAUUGCAAAUGUCAAGCAGAAUUAGCUUUAUCCGACACGACAGUGUGUACACCAACCAUACAAAUGGCGACAGCACACGAAAACUGAUUGCAUUCACACUGCGACAGAGUUAAGCGCCACCAUAGCGUUAUAUUCCUAUAAAAAUGUGGUGUUUACCUAGUGGCGCUGGCACACUUUGGAGGGGAAGGACAUUAUUGUAAUAUUUAUAACACAAACGUUAUGAUUUUUUUCUAAUGUCAAGCAAAUGUUAGUCAAAUUUAUAUACGUUAAAUAAAGUAUCUGAAUGAUA